CACUAAUUGUUGAAUUGUCAGAUAGAAACCAUUUAAAACCAAUUUGACAAACAAGAAAUAUUGUGAAAAUGGAAAACCCUAAAAAUACUUCUAAUCCCUUACGAGGUCUGAAUGAAACCGAAGAAGACAAUAAGCAUAUGAUUGCUAUAAAUGCGAUGAAGCGAGAAUAUUUGCAUCCUUCUGAUGAUGAGCAACUACUGAGUGAAAAUGAAGUACCUUUAAUUUUCGAUUUGCAAGACAACAAAAUGGAGGAAUAGGUAUUUGUCAAGGCAUACAACGAAAACUU